GAUGAACGCUGGCGGCGUGCUUAACACAUGCAAGUCGAACGAUGAAGCCCAGCUUGCUGGGUGGAUUAGUGGCGAACGGGUGAGUAACACGUGAGUAACCUGCCCUUGACUCUAGGAUAAGCCCGGGAAACUGGGUCUAAUACUGGAUAGGAACGUCUACCGCAUGGUGGGUGUUGGAAAGAAUUUCGGUCAUGGAUGGACUCGCGGCCUAUCAGCUUGUUGGUGAGGUAAUGGCUCACCAAGGCGACGACGGGUAGCCGGCCUGAGAGGGUGACCGGCCACACUGGGACUGAGACACGGCCCAGACUCCUACGGGAGGUAGCAGUGGGGAAUAUUGCACAAUGGGCGAAAGCCUGAUGCAGCGACGCCGCGUGAGGGAUGACGGCCUUCGGGUUGUAAACCUCUUUCAGUAGGGAAGAAGCGAAAGUGACGGUACCUGCAGAAGAAGCACCGGCUAACUACGUG
rnacentral:rRNA from 1 species